AGCCAGUGAUGACAGACUAAAAACACUUUUCUGACACCUACUAUGAGAGCUGAACUCCAGCCCCUGAUUCUGACUUUAUUCUGAGGCUU
ensembl:snoRNA